rnacentral:rRNA from 1 species
GUGGGGAAUCUUGGGCAAUGGGCGCAAGCCUGACCCAGCCACGCCGCGUGGAGGAAGACACCCCUAUGGGGCGUAAACUCCUUUUAUAUGGGAAGAAAACCUUCCUCGGGAAGGCCUGACGGUACCAUAUGAAUAAGCACCGGCUAACUCCGUGCCAGCAGCCGCGGUAAUACGGAGGGUGCAAGCGUUGUCCGGAUUCACUGGGUGUAAAGGGUGUGCAGGCGGGGCGGUAAGUCAGAAGUGAAAGCCCACGGCUCAACCGUGGAAUGGCUUUUGAAACUGUCGCUCUUGAGUCUCGGAGAGGUCGCUGGAAUUCGUGGUGUAGCGGUGAAAUGCGUAGAUAUCACGAGGAACACCGGAGGCGUAGGCGGGCGACUGGACGACGACUGACGCUGAGGCACGAAAGCGUGGGGAGCAAACAGG